rnacentral:lncRNA from 1 species
AUUAAGACCUGGAUGAUUGAGGUGCUCUCAUGAGCACUUUGGUUCUUUAAGAUUUUGCUCCUCUCCCUUGAAUGGUUCUUAUCGCAGGGUUGCCUUUAGAGGAGGGUAAAGUACAGUCUGAUCCCACAACGCAUGGCUAACUGGCUUGCAUCUCUCCCUGACUCCUAAAGAAGGAAGACCCACAGAGGAGAAAUGUUCUGAAUGUCAGUGGGAUCCACAGAAGAGCAGGAAUAAGCUGCUCACAGCCAGCUCGAAUCACCACUGAAGUCUUGAAUAAGCAUCUACUAGGAGUUUGACUUAGAAGUGAGACAGAAACAAGAAGAGGAAAAUAUCCGCUCACUGUGGGUGGGGAGAAAAGAGACCUUUCAGGAGUGCUUGCACAACGUUAACUAGUGUGCAGCUUUCUUGCUCUGCCUGUCAUCAUGUUCUUCAGACAACAGAGGAAAACAAAUCAUUCUAAAUAACUUGAACUGCUGGGUGCAGAGAACCUGGAAUGUACAGCAUGACUCAAAAGAAGACUAUUAAUGGUGUUUGCUGACUGCCAGUUGUUCAUUGACAAUGGAUAGAUUGGUUCAGGCAAGUACACCUUCUAGGACUAUUGCUAGGCAAG